UGUGUAGGCGGUUGUUUAAGUUUGGUAUGAAAUCUCCCGGCUUAACUGGGAGGGUGCGCCGAAUACUGAAUGACUAGAGUGCGGGAGAGGAGAGUGGAAUUCCUGGUGUAGCGGUGAAAUGCGUAGAUAUCAGGAGGAACACCGGCGGUGUAGACGGCUCUCUGGACCGUAACUGACGCUGAGACACGAAAGCGUGGGUAGCAAACAGGAUUAGAUACCCUGGUAGUCCACGCCCUAAACGAUGCAUAUUUGGUGUGGGCAGUUCAUUCUGUCCGUGCCGGAGCUAACGCGUUAAAUAUGCCGCCUGGGGAGUACAGUCGCAAGGCUGAA
rnacentral:rRNA from 1 species